rnacentral:rRNA from 1 species
GCUAAUCCGGGUAAUGUUCCUCUGGAGAUCCAGUGGAACCAAAGGGGGCGAGCGUAAGCAGCUCUCACCGAAGGAGGAGCCUGCGUCCGAUUAGCUAGUUGGUGGGGUAAUGGCCUACCAAGGCGACGAUCGGUAGCCGGCCUGAGAGGGCGACCGGCCACACUGGAACUGAGACACGGUCCAGACUCCUACGGGAGGCAGCAGUGGGGAAUAUUGCGCAAUGGGCGAAAGCCUGACGCAGCGACGCCGCGUGGGUGAUGAAGGCCUUCGGGUCGUAAAGCCCUGUCGGGUGGAACGAAUUGCUUGGCGGCAAAUACCGCU